UACAUAUAAGUGGGUGGAGGAAAAGACACAAACCUAGACUCCAGAAGUAGUUGCGAAUGAAUGUGGAGCUGCUCAGCUUGAAAUCUGUUAGGCACCUGCCACUGACAUGAAACUUCUGAGUGUGUUGUCAAUGGAGGUGCAUGUGUUAGCCACUUUGGAAAGGGGGGAUGCAGGUAUAUACAAGGGUGAGAAUCCAUCUUGUCACUUGCUUUGCCUCUGUGUACUGCACAGGUGUUCCAGAAUCAUGCUCUUUGGAAGUGGAGUGUAAAGGGGGCGGUAGAUUUCAUCCAAAGGUGACCACAAUGCUGAGACCGACAGUGAAGAAGUACCAUGAGGGAAGUGUGAAAAGGACUUUGGAAAGAGAACUAAAAGAGCCUGCACUUGCUGAAUGGCAAGCACACAGGAUAGCAGCGCUUGGGAGUAUUGCUUGAUGUUGAGUAGGGAGUGUGCAAGCAUGUCUGUUAAGCAUCCGGAGCUUCCUUCCAUGCAUGCCAGCAGCAACAGGGGCAGUCUGUGACUGUGGGACUGCUUGAGUGUGUUUUGGCCACAUCAUCUGCGAGCUGCGUGAACUUGUUGACGUUGUAAUGCAUUAUGUAUUCUGACCAAGGUGUCCUCGAGGAGAGCUCCAAGAAUCAACUAGUGCCAUGCUGGCAAACUUGUUCUGUGUGACCCGUCUUGAAACACGGACUGAGGAGUCUGACGCGUAUGCAAGCUACUGGGUGUGAGAAGUUGUUGCACAAUGAAAGUGUAGCCCCAGACAUACCCAGGUGGGUUCAACCAACCAGUUGGAUGAGGUUUGAGUCUAAGCAUUCCCGUUAGGACCCGAAAGAUGGUGAACUAUGCCUGGCAAGGGCCAAGUCAGGGGAAACUCUGGUGGAGGACUGCAGCGGUACUGACGUGCAAAUCGUUCGUCACAUAUGGGUAUGGGGGCGAAAGACUAAUCGAACCAUCUAUAAUG
rnacentral:rRNA from 1 species